CUCUUUCUCAAUGUAAAAUUGAGUUCACAUUGGACCUGCUUACCCACAGCAGUCACCAGCUCAACCAGGGAAGGAAACGCACCACCCUGCUAGCCCUGCUUCAGCCUUGGGUGAGGCUGUGAAGGCUGGUGACGGGAAAACUGGAGCAGAGAAGACAAAUCCAGCCUGAGCCAAGAGGCCUCUGCAUCGCUGGUCAGGAAAAAGCAACUGCUAGAUUUCUGGUUUGCCCCUCAGACCGUGGAGCUCCGGGUCACCAGCCUGAACCGCUUAAUGCACAUCACGCCUGGGUUUAGUUGGAAAUGGCUGAAGGCACUUAAAUGGAACUCCCAACCUUUGUCCUCAGCUUCCGAAACCACAGCACUGUGUCGGGGCCUUUCCAAUGGAACAUGAACACAACAUUGCACAGAGUAGAUAGGAGAGAAGAAGCUGCUGGCUUUAAAGAUGGAAGAAUGGGCCACAAGCCAAGGAAUGCAAGAAGCCUCUGGAAAAUGCAAGCUGGAAAACAGAAGGAGAUAGAUUUUCCCCUGAAGUCUUCAGAAGAAAUGCAGUGCUG
rnacentral:lncRNA from 10 species